GCGGGGGCUGCGGGCCGCCAGGCUCCCGGCCCCCGCGGCUUCCCGGGGAAGGGGACCGCCGCCCCCGCCGCCGCAUCCCGGCUGCUGCAGCUGGGGGUGCGCUCGUUCCGCGGGUGGGGGUGGUGGUUGGGGAGGGCGGCGGGGACGCCCGGACCCGGCUGGCCCGGGAGGCGCCCAGUUCUAGGGGUACUGAGGGGGCGCGGCGCGAGGGUCACUGUGAAGUUGGCGCCCACGCGCACCCGGGCGGGUCUCGAACGUGGGCACUUGCGCCGGGCGCGGUCGGCGAGCCGCAAAGGCCCCGGGUUCCAGGUCGCGCGGUUCCGGCCCCUGGGGCCGCCCCCUUCCCUCCCGGGCUCUGGCGGGUGCUCGGCGACGGGGAAAGAGAAACUUGGAGACCUUCGGGAGGAGUUGGCGGAGCGACGCGGGAGCGCGGUGCUGGCCGACCCCCGGAGCCCUGGGAGCCCGUCGGUGAUCUGGAUGGGAUCUGAACAGAAUUAAGAAGAAAGAGCUUCCACAAUCACAGCAGAUGAAGAUCCACUGGUAAAUCGAUCAGAAUUUUUGGCCUGCCCUCCAAAGAAAAGGGGUUGUACCAUUUUACAUUCCUACCGGCAGUGUACCGGAAUUCCAGUUUUUCUACAUCUCUGCCAAGACUUGUUAUUUGCUGUUUUGUUUCGGUAAUAGACAUCCUAAUCGUGGGGAAUUGGUAUCUCUUGUGGAUUUUAUAUGUACUUCUCUCUUUUUGAAAAAGAUUUUAUUCGUAUGACAAAGGGAGGGAGAGAGAGAGAGCGCACAUGCACACAAGCAGGGGGAGCGGCAAGCAGAGGGAGAGGGAGAAGCAGGCUCCCUGCUGAGCAGGGAGUUCAAUGUGGGGCUUGAUCCUAGGACCCUGGGAUCAUGACCUGAGCAGAAGGCAGAUGCUUAACCCACUGAGCUACCCAGGCACCCCCUUAUAUGCAUUUCUCUAACGAGAAAUGAUACUGGGUAUCUUUCGUUUGCUUGUUGGUUAUUUGGCUAUCUUUUUGGACAAAUAUCUGUUGAGAUCCUUUGCCAAUUUUGAAAAUUGGAUUAUUUGCCCUUCCCACCCCCUCACCCCCCUUUUUGGGUUGUAAGAAUUCUUUAUACAUUGUAGAUGCAAGUCCCUUGUUAGAUACAUGAUUUGCAAACAUUUUCUCCUUGUGGAUUGUCUUUUUACUUUCUUGAAGGUGCCCUUUGAAGCACAAAGUUUUAAUGGUUUCGGCAAAGCCCAAUUUAUCUAUUUGGCUCUGUUUUUAAGAAAUACCUGUAAGUCAGAUUCCAGCUUACUAACCACUUACAUAUGAUUGCUGCUCUCUGCUGCCACUCCCCACAGAAACCAUUUGGAAAAAUCCUAAUGCUUUGUGAAAAUACCUGUUUUCCAAAGUGGAGAGAGGCGGGAAGCUCUGGAAAGUAGCAAAGGUAGAUUCUUCACCCGUAGCAAUUUUGUUUCAAUUCUGUUUUUCUCCUUCUGAGGUUCCUUUACUUAGAGCAGUUUGGUGGGGAGGAGGCUGUGGUAGAAAGUGAAGAGUCCUAUAGCUUUUACAUUGAUCAAAAGAAAGGUUAAAAUAGGUUAAAUAGGUUAAAGUGUCAGAAACUUUGCCUUCUUUAAUAGAUUGUGACAUUUAAAAUUAGAAUGGCCACGGGGUUGCAGUAAUUGUGUGUAUCUAAGAAAAAAGGUUUAGGGACCAUCACAUCUAGAAAGUCAUUUGGGUUAACAUCUCCCCUUCUAUAUGAGAGAAUAUGUGUUAGGAUUGGGGGUUGAAGACAGAAAACUGCAUUCAUUCAUUCAUAUGUUUAGUGAAAAAUAGUUAAAUCUGCAUGCCAUUUAUGUCUGCCAAGAAAAGGAAGGUUUUCUUUUGGAGGUGGACAGGGGAUGAAAGUCUUUGUGGAACAGUCUGUCCUUUGGGAAGCCGUACAAACCCAGAUGGCUACAGGAUCAGGGCGCACACAGAGAAUGGGGAAAAGUCAGGGGGUUGUAUCUGAGGAAUCUAGGACUUUCCUCAGAGCUGGAACUUUGCUGAGGAAAGGGGAAGAAAGAUGUGUUGUUCCUUCCCUUUGUGCUCACACACCUGCACUGUUAGUCCUAGAGUUCAGCCUUAAGGCAUUUUGCUGACUAGCUUUGGGAACUGGCCACCACACAUCUUAGGUUUGUGGGUAGGUACAUUCUAAGCUCCCAAUGACACCCUUAUAUUGGGAAUGCAAACAUUUGAUCCCUGGGAAGACUAAGCAUAAUCUCAUUGCCACCUUGAUUUCAGAGCAGGUACUCUUAACCCCAAUCCACAGUCCUAUGAUUUAGAGGUAGAGGUGAGUUCUCAUAUGCUUAGUGUGAGGAGUCGGGAAAGAUUUUGUUUAAGAAAGAGUUUGAGGAGGGACUUGGUUGAACGGUAGGAUUUAAGUUAAGGGAGGCAAAGUAUUAUAAAUAGAGUGACCUUUAUGAAAAAGCUUAGGUGCCAGGUUCUGGAGUGGGGAGCAUAUUUGAAGCUAUAGAUUGGUCAUUUUGGCUGGACUGAAAGAGUACCUGCUGGAGCGAACCCUGUGACCGUAGUGAGAUGGAACCAACUUGAGAAGGCCUUGAGUGCUAGGAGAGAAGUUUUUAUCGAAUUCAGUGGUCAGUGGGGAGCCCCUAAAACUGGUAGAGUGAGGACUGACAUAAAUAAAACCAUUCUUAAUUCUGCAAGACUGACCUGAUAGUAUAGCCUUGGUAGAUUAAAAUCGGGGUGUUUUGUGUGAUAGACACAGUGUUAAUAAAAAUAGCUAACACUUACAGGGUGCUUUUGUACUGUGAGGUUUCCUAAUAUUCCUCAUAAAGUGAAUACUCCUGUUCUACUAAUUUUAUAGAUGAGGAAACAGGUACAGAGAGGCUAAAUGACUUCCCCAGAAUUACACGACUAGUAAGUGGUAGCACAGGGAUUCAACCUGGGCAGACUGGCUCUAGAACUCAUGUUCUUGACUGCCGGGCCCAUUAGGUGGUGAUAUUUACAGUCACUUCAGUGAAAGCUGUAUCUGCAGAAAGAAGACUUACGAAAUUAUUUUUAACAGUGUGUUUAAUCUUUGCAUUUUAUUGCAUCCGAGGCAGUGCACCAGAACUUUAACUGUACAGUCAGCCUCUUUUUAUAGCUAAAUGCUGGUAUGACUUCUCCAUUUUUUCCCAUAACUUUUUUUUUUCUCUCUCUCUUCUAAACUACAUAAAGGCUCUAAGUGAAGAUUUUAAAUCAAGUUGUCAGUAGUUUAAAAUUAUAGGCCAGUAUUAAAUCCCUAGAAACAUUUGGUCUUUAUUCAGUUUAGAGUUAAAACUUACUAUUUUGUAUUUUUAAAAAAAGAUUUUAUUUAUUUAUUUCAGAGAAAGUGAGCAAGAGGGAGUGAGCAUGAGCAGGGGCAGAAGGAGAGGGAAAGGGAG